CACCAAUGGCGAAGGCAAGUUACUGGCAUCUAACUGACGCUGAGGCACGAAAGCGUGGGUAGCAAACAGGAUUAGAUACCCUGGUAGUCCACGCUAUAAACGAUGUACACUAGUUGUCGGGGUAAAACUCGGUGACGCAGCUAACGCAUUAAGUGUACCGCCUGGGGAGUAUGCUCGCAAGGGU
rnacentral:rRNA from 1 species